UUGCUUAAGUAGUAAAUACACCAAAAUUUAAACUGCACAGGAAAGAUUAGCAUUGUCUCUAUACAAAGAAAACAGUCAAAUUCAGGAAGCACUGCAUAUUGUA
rnacentral:snRNA from 1 species